AUCCAUUCCACCAGAGUUUCCUAUGCGAGCCCAGGAUAGGGUUUGGCAGCCAAGACUUGCCAUAUUCAUUGCACUGACUUUCUCAGCGUCUGAUGAAUUUAAUCACUCCCCUGAGCAGAGAUGGAAAUUGAACUUGCCUCCAGCUCACUUCAACUCAGAGCUGAGGCUGAUAAAAGACGAGGGACGAGGAAGAUUUUCCUGAGGUUGAAAAAUCAAUUUGUAGUCAGUUAUUUCACAUUUUUAUCGUAAAGCAUGCUCAAUUUGUCUGUUCUGCUUAUGUUAGAAUAUAUUUCAAGAAAUGCAGAAAAGUUGUUAGGUGAAAGAAUUAAAUAAGAACAGAACCCCUGAAUAAAUUUGGUAAGCCAACCAAAUAAUUCAGAAAUAUUUAAUCUUUAUUUAUAUCAAAAUGCCUUCACAAAGGUUUACAAAACUGGGUACACUGGCAGUAGUAAUUCUCUCAUAGGGUGGUUAUUAAAAAAUCAGCAGCUGUACUGAAGGAACAGAAACAUUGACUUGGAGUUGUCUACUCUUGUGCACUCAGUAUAAGUUCAUGCAGUCAGGCAUGUAUGUAAACCCUGAGUACGUAGGGUGGGGGUGGGACCCCAGCUUUUGGUAUUGUGGAUCCUGAUGUACUUGUCCAGCACACUGGAUUCACUAGAAUGCUGACUGCAGAAAGCAGAUUCUUUUUAAUUUUUUUUCUGAGAUUUGCUAAU